rnacentral:rRNA from 1 species
GUGCACGCUGGCGGUAGGCCUAACCCCUGCAAGUCGCACGGCAGCACAGUAAGAGCUUGCUCUUACGGGUGGCGAGUGGCGGACGGGUGAGGAAUACAUCGGAAUCUACUUUUUCGUGGGGGAUAACGUAGGGAAACUUACGCUAAUACCGCAUACGACCUACGGGUGAAAGCAGGGGAUCUUCGGACCUUGCGCGAUUGAAUGAGCCGAUGUCGGAUUAGCUAGUUGGCGGGGUAAAGGCCCACCAAGGCGACGAUCCGUAGCUGGUCUGAGAGGAUGAUCAGCCACACUGGAACUGAGACACGGUCCAGACUCCUACGGGAGGCAGCAGUGGGGAAUAUUGGACAAUGGGCGCAAGCCUGAUCCAGCCAUACCGCGUGGGUGAAGAAGGCCUUCGGGUUGUAAAGCCCUUUUGUUGGGAAAGAAAAGCAGCAGGUUAAUACCCCGCUGUUCUGACGGUACCCAAAGAAUAAGCACCGGCUAACUUCAUG